rnacentral:rRNA from 1 species
GACGAACGCUGGCGGCGUGCUUAACACAUGCAAGUCGAACGGAAAGGCCCCUUUGGGGGUACUUGAGUGGCGAACGGGGGAGUAACACGUGAGUAACCUGCCCUUGCCUUCGUGAUAACUUCAGUAAAGUGGGGCUAAUUACGGUAAGGAAUCCUUGCUGCAUGGGGGGGGUUGGAAAGCUCCCGCUGCGUUGGGUGGUCGCGCGGCUUAUCGGCUUGUUGGUGGGGUGGUGGCUUACAAAUGCUUUGACGGGUAGCCGGCCUGAGAGGGCGACCGGCCACAUUGGGACUGAGGUACGGCCCAGGCUGCUACGGGAGGCAGCAGGGGGGAAUAUUGCACCAGGGGCGGCAGCCUGGUGCAGCAACGCCGCGUGCGGGAUGACCGCCUUCGGGUUGUAAACCACUUUCAGCAGGGGCGAAGCUUGUGGUGACGGUACCUGCAGAAGAAGCACCGGCUAACUACGUG